rnacentral:rRNA from 1 species
AUUGAACGCUGGCGGCAGGCUUAACACAUGCAAGUCGAGCGGGGGAAGGUAGCUUGCUACCGGACCUAGCGGCGGACGGGUGAGUAAUGCUUAGGAAUCUGCCUAUUAGUGGGGGACAACAUCUCGAAAGGGAUGCUAAUACCGCAUACGUCCUACGGGAGAAAGCAGGGGAUCUUCGGACCUUGCGCUAAUAGAUGAGCCUAAGUCGGAUUAGCUAGUUGGUGGGGUAAAGGCCUACCAAGGCGACGAUCUGUAGCGGGUCUGAGAGGAUGAUCCGCCACACUGGGACUGAGACACGGCCCAGAUUCCUACGGGAGGCAGCAGUGGGGAAUAUUGGACAAUGGGGGGAACCCUGAUCCAGCCAUGCCGCGUGUGUGAAGAAGGCCCUAUGGUUGUAAAGCACUUUAAGCGAGGAGGAGGCUACUCUAGUUAAUACCUAGGGAUAGUGGACGUUACUCGCAGAAUAAGCACCGGCUAACUCUGUGCCAGCCGCCGCCGUAA